UUGACUUGUGGGUUCUUUGUUUCCUUUCCCACCUGUCGUGUGUUUGACCUGACUGGACCAAGCUCAGGAGGAUCCCUGGAAGCUGAGCUAAGUGCUUUGUCUGGUCAAGCUUUUCUCAUUGUGUUUGUAGCUGCUGUGUGUCGGAGUGAAGCUGAACAAAGUUGGUUCAUGUUCCUCAAACUUUCCUGCUGAAAUGUCUCUUAAACUGCACUCGACUGACUGACUGAAAUGACUCAUCGUAACCUCCAUUGACUCACAAACUCGGCGCGAACGUCAAACCGUUACCUACGCAAGCGAAAUAUCAAAUGAAGCUUCAUUUGUUGUUAGUCACGUGAUUUCUUCCGCUUCGACUCGUGCCGUGAAACCGUGCUGCGUUUGGAUGUCACUGGUGUCGAUUCUUCUUCGUCCUGUUUGUGUAUCUGCUGGAAGAUGUUGGCUAGUCUCACUCUACUCCACAGCUGCCAGUCUGUUUCCUGAGAGACCAACUGGACCAACUCUCCCCUGCCUCUGGACCACCGGGCUCUAACGGUCACACCGGACAGCUCACCUCACGCUGACUUUAUCUCUAGAAUUCCUCCGAGUUUUUUAUAUAUAUAUAUAUAUAUAUAUUUUUUUUUUCCCUGUAAAGCCAAUCUGUGCUGCUCUCUAGUGCCCACGAGAGCCUUCAGGGAAACCACCUGGAUCCACUGAAGGUUCUUCUCGCCAACAUCCCAGGAAUCAACGCUCCACUCGUUCUCCUCAGUGACUCCAACACAGCUGCACCGAUGAAGUGAAGGUCACCCUCCACAGCUCUCAUCUGAGAUCUGGUUCAUCUGUUGCACCAGCUCAAGAGCACGCUGGAAGAACCCGACACUGAUGCAGUUCAGGAUCCACUGUGGUUUGAUCCUUCACACUCUACAUACCAGUGUUGUAGCAGCAGACUGGUCUCUCCCUCUUCUGUCAUUGCAGGCUGCAAGGUCAAAGUUCAGCUGACCAAACUCGUGAUGCUGGUGAGCUUCCUGGACAUCUUCUGCACCACCUUCAGUCUCCUGAGGCAGAACCGAGUGCAUUGAGGCCUGGUUGCAUGUCAUGGAAAUAUUUCAGCACCUUUGAGGGUUCUUGGACGUCGUGGGUCUGACAUUCAUGAGUGAGGAGCACCACCUACUGCACACCAGUGAGGCCAAGAUGGAGUCAGUUGGAAAAGACCUCGUCCCCAUUAACCUCCUCACCGACCUUCCACAGUAAAGUAUGAUGUCGUUGCUGUGAGAAGUUCUUCCUGCUCAUGCUGAUGUCAGCACUUUUUAUGCCAGUCCUGGAUUGGUCACAUGAACCUGGAAGUUCACAGUGCCUUCAACACCAUCCAGGCCGUCACUUCUGAGUGUGGAGCGUAACAAUGUGGUGACCUCCAUCGUGGACUCUUCAGGAAACACUGUUCAUUUCCACUCUGAUUUGAGCUAAUGUUUAUUUCCUGUUCUUGGACCACUCACUCCACUUCACAGCAGUGACCCCUCCUUGGUGGCAUACAGAACUGCCAGCCUGCCUCCUAAACCGCCAAGUUCUUAGGUGGAUCUCAGCAGCAUCUGAACAAAAAUAUAAGAAUCUGUAUCUUCAUCCAGAGAAGGAUCAGGAUGCUGGAAGGCGCCAGUAAAGAGGAACAUGUGGAUCCAAAUGGAGUCCGGUUUGACUGCCAGCUUCAGCAGCUUCUGUUUGAAUAAAGGACUUUGAUUCUGAGGUGCACAGGUCUGUUACUGUGGUCAAAUGUCUUCAUGUGUUUUUACCUCCAACCACCCAGUACUGGAGUAUAAAUAGUUACUUCUGUACUCUAGUACUGUUGUGACAGAGUUGGUCAGGUUUCAGGUCUUUCAAACCUUCUGCUGCGUGAUGACCCGGGUCACUGAGCUCUCCCAAACAUCACCUGUGUUCCACCUUGUCUCUCCCAUAUAUGAUUCAUUACGGUUCUGGUGCUGCGCCGUCUGGUUCUAAGGUUGUCUGAAUACAGUUCAUGU